UACGUAGGGUGCGAGCGUUAAUCGGAAUUAUUGGGCGUAAAGAGCUCGUAGGUGGUUCGGUAAGUCGGAUGUGAAAUCUCCAGGCUCAACCUGGAGGGGUCAUUCGAUACUGCCGUGACUAGAGUUCGGUAGGGGAGUGUGGAAUUCCUGGUGGAGCGGUGAAAUGCGCAGAUAUCAGGAGGAACACCCGUAGCGAAGGCGGCACUCUGGGCCGAUACUGACACUGAGGAGCGAAAGCGUGGGGAGCGAACAGG
rnacentral:rRNA from 1 species